CUGGUGUGCUGGCACUCAGUCCAUCGGGAUCCGCGUGCCCAACACGCGGGCGUCCGGUGGAAACUGAGUGGCUUGGGACCGGAAGACCUAGGGGGUACGUCCGGGGUAGGAGUGAAAUCCCGUAAUCCUGGACGGACCACCGGUGGCGAAAGCGCCCUAGGAAGACGGAUCCGACGGUGAGGGACGAAAGCUCGGGUCACGAACCGGAUUAGAUACCCGGGUAGUCCGAGCUGUAAACGAUGUCUGCUAGGUGUGACACAGGCUACGAGCCUGUGUUGUGCCGUAGGGAAGCCGUGAAGCAGACCGCCUGGGAAGUACGUCCGCAAGGAUGAAACUUAAAGGAAUUGGCGGGGGAGCACUACAACCGGAGGAGCCUGCGGUUUAAUUGGACUCAACGCCGGACAUCUCACCAGCAUCGACAGCAGGAGUGACGAUCAGGUUGAUGACCUUAUCAGACCUGCUGAGAGGAGGUGCAUGGCCGCCGUCAGCUCGUACCGUGAGGCGUCCUGUUAAGUCAGGCAACGAGCGAGACCCACGUCCCUAAUUGCCAGCAACACCCUUGUGGUGGUUGGGUACAUUAGGGGAGACUGCCAGUGCCAAACUGGAGGAAGGAAUGGGCAA
rnacentral:rRNA from 1 species